UGCGAAUGGCUCAUUAAAUCAGCUAUGGUUUAUUGGAUCAUACCCGUUAAAUGGAUAACUGUAAUAACUCUAGAGCUAAUACAUGCCAUUAUGCCCUGACCCUCACGGGAAUGGGUGCACUUAUUAGAUCAGAAGCCAACCGUGUAUGGCCGAAAGGCUGUGCAUGUUGACCUUCUGGUGACUCUGGAUAAUUGUUACAGAUCGCAGUCGGCCUUGAGUCGGCGACGGGUCCUUCAAAUGUCUGCCCUAUCAACUUUCGAUGGUAGGUGACCUGCCUACCAUGGUGAUAACGGGUAACGGGGAAUCAGGGUUCGAUUCCGGAGAGGGAGCCUGAGAAACGGCUACCACUUCCAAGGGAGGCAGCAGGCGCGCAAAUUACCCACUCCCAGUACGGGGAGGUGGUGACGAAAAAUACCGAUGCGGGACUCUUAACGAGGCUCCGUAAUCGGAAUGAGUGAACUAUAAAUCCUUUCACGAGGAUCAAUUGGAGGGCAAGUCUGGUGCCAGCAGCCGCGGUAACUCCAGCUCCAAUAGCGUAUAUUAAAGUUGCUGCAGUUAAAAAGCUCGUAGUUGGAUCUCGGUAUCACUGUUGCCCGUCAGUCCUUAGGCGACAGACUGCGUGUGCAUGGGUUUGACUCGUGUUGCCGUGGUUGGUCGUCUGAGUUGGCGGUGUGACGGUGUGGCCUUUCAGCCAUGUCUGUGGUGAAAUACCCGCAGGUGUAGGCGAGUGUCAGGCGGUGCCUUGCGAAAGUAGGGCUCGUCGGCUCGUCUGCAUGCCUUUGGAUGCCCUUCAAAAGGUGUCUGUGGGCGGAUGGCACGUUUACUUUGAACAAAUUUGAGUGCUCAAACCAGGCCGAUGUUGCCUGAAAAGUUUUGCAUGGAAUAAUGGAAUAGGACUUCGGUUCUAUUUCGUUGGUUUUCGGAUCCGAAGUAAUGAUCAAAAGAGACAGGCGGGGACGUUUGUAUGGCUGCGCUAGAGGUGAAAUUCAUGGACCGUAGCCAGACAAACUAAAGCGAAAGCAUUCGUCAAGCAUGUUUUCAUUGGCCAUGAGCGAAAGUCAGAGGCUCGAAGACGAUCAGAUACCGUCCUAGUUCUGACCAUAAACGAUGCCAACUGACGAUCCGUGGUGGUAGUCCAUCAACCUUCCCCACGGGCAGUCCCCGGGAAACCUUUAAGUCUUUGGGUUCCGGGGGAAGUAUGGUUGCAAAGCUGAAACUUAAAGGAAUUGACGGAAGGGCACCACCAGGAGUGGAGCCUGCGGCUUAAUUUGACUCAACACGGGAAAACUCACCCGGCCCGGACACUAUGAGGAUUGACAGAUUGAUAGCUCUUUCUUGAUUUGGUGGUUGGUGGUGCAUGGCCGUUCUUAGUUGGUGGAGCGAUUUGUCUGGUUAAUUCCGAUAACGAACGAGACUCCUGCCUGCUAAUUAGUGCAUCUGUCUACUGUACCUGCGUAGGCGGUGUUUGGCGAGGUUGCUCCCGUACGCUGCCCUGGUGGCUCGGUUGGCUAUCCGGUCGACUGUUGUUUCUGGGGUGGUGGGAGUGGCUGGUUCGGCAUUAGCUUCCGGGUGCGGCGCGGGUGUCUACUUCUUAGAGGGACAAGCGGGAGAAGCCGCACGAAAUGGAGCAAUAACAGGUCUGUGAUGCCCUUAGAUGUCCGGGGCCGCACGCGCGCUACAAUGACGGUGGCAAUGAGUCUGACCUUCUGGCCCGAAAGGGUUGGGCAAACUGGUCAAUCACCGUCAUGACAGGGAUCGGGGCUUGGAAUUGUUCCCCGUGAACGAGGAAUUCCUAGUAAGUGCAAGUCAUAAGCUUGCGCUGAUUACGUCCCUGCCCUUUGUACACACCGCCCGUCGCUACUACCGAUUGAAUGGUUUAGUAAGGUCCUUGGAUUGGCCCCAUUGUGGUGGUCACCGAAAGGUGGCUGCCCGACCGGGGCUGAGAAGACGACCAAACUUGAUCAUUUAGAGGAAGUAAAAGUCGUAACAAG
rnacentral:rRNA from 1 species